UAUACAUCUGCAGCAAGGAUCUUCCAAAGCUCAGAAAGCCUGUACUGUCAUCACCUCUGUCUCUGCUUAUAUAUCAGAGAUCGGAGUUGAAAAACAGCACGACAUAU
rfam:Zea mays cultivar B73 chromosome 4, whole genome shotgun sequence.